rnacentral:snoRNA from 1 species
ACCUGGAUGUGAUGUAACAAAAGGCCGAAUGAAGCUCCGCCCACAGCAGACUGUUCACAGUGGGUGGAGCUGUGACAAAAAUCGGACUGAAGCGUGUUCUGAUCCGGGU